rnacentral:siRNA from 1 species
ACUUUCAUAUAAAGCUAUUUGCCA